AGGGAUUGCCCUAGUAACGGCGAGUGAAGCGGCAACAGCUCAAAUUUGAAAUCUGGCUUCCUUUGGGAGUCCGAGUUGUAAUUUGCAGAGGGCGCUUUGGCGUCGGCAGCGGUCUAAGUUCCUUGGAACAGGACGUCACAGAGGGUGAGAAUCCCGUACGUGGUCGCCUGCCUUCGCCGUGUAAAGCCCCUUCGACGAGUCGAGUUGUUUGGGAAUGCAGCUCUAAAUGGGAGGUAAAUUUCUUCUAAAGCUAAAUACUGGCCAGAGACCGAUAGCGCACAAGUAGAGUGAUCGAAAGAUGAAAAGCACUUUGGAAAGAGAGUCAAACAGCACGUGAAAUUGUUGAAAGGGAAGCGCUUGCCGCCAGACUUGCCCGUGGUGGUUCUCCUCCUCGGGCAGGCCAGCAUCAGUUUGGGCGAUCGGAUAAUGGCCUCUGUCAUGUAUCUUCCUUCGGGAUGACCUUAUAGGGGAGUCGUAGUACGGUCAGCCCGGACUGAGGUCCGCGCAUUUGCUAGGAUGCUGGCGUAAUGGCUGCAAGCGGCCCGUCUUGAAACACGGACCAAGGAGUCUAACAUCUAUGCGAGUGUUUGGGUGUCAAGCCCGAGCGCGCAAUGAAAGUGAACGGAGGUGGGAACCCUCUCUGGGGGUGCACCAUCGACCGAUCCUGAAGUCUUCGGAUGGAUUUGAGUAAGAGCAUGGCUGUUGGGACCCGAAAGAUGGUGAACUAUGCUUGAAUAGGGUGAAGCCAGAGGAAACUCUGGUGGAGGCUCGCAGCGGUUCUGACGUGCAAAUCGAUCGUCAAAUUUGGGCAUAGGGGCGAAAGACUAAUCGAAC
rnacentral:rRNA from 1 species